UACGAAGGGGGGCUAGCGUUGUUCGGAAUUACUGGGCGUAAAGGCGCACGUAGGUCGGAUAUUUAAAGUCAGGGGUGAAAUCCCAGAGCUCAACUCUGGAACUGCCUUUGAUACUGGGUAUCUUGAGUAUGGAAGAGGUAAGUGGAAUUCCGAGUGAUAGAGGUGAAAUUCGUAGAUAUUCGGAGGAACACCAGUGGCGAAGGCGGCUGCCAGCUGGUCCGGGUACUGACGCGUGAGGUGACGAAA
rnacentral:rRNA from 1 species